rnacentral:rRNA from 1 species
CCUACGGGAGGCAGCAGUGAGGAAUAUUGGUCAAUGGGCGGAAGCCUGAACCAGCCAAGUCGCGUGAGGGAUUCAGGCCCUGCGGGUCGUAAACCUCUUUUGCCGGGGAGCAGAGGUCCGGACGUGUCCGGGCCGGGAGAGUACCCGGAGAAACAGCCUCGGCUAACUCCGUGCCAGCAGCCGCGGUAAUACGGAGGAUGCGAGCGUUAUCCGGAUUUAUUGGGUUUAGGGGGUGCGUAGGCGGGCAUUUAAGCCGGCGGUCAAAUGUCGGGGCUCAACCCCGGCCGGCCGUCGGAACUGGGUGCAUUGAGUGGGCGAGAAGGAUGCGGAAUGCGUGGUGUAGCGGUGAAAUGCAUAGAUAUCACGAAGAACUCCGAUUGCGAAGGCAGUUCACUGGACUGCAACUGACACUGAGGCUCGAAAGUGUGGGUAUCAAACAGGAUUAGAUACCCUAGUAGUC